UACAGAGGGGGCAAGCGUUGUUCGGAAUUACUGGGCGUAAAGGGCGCGUAGGCGGCCUUCUAAGUCGAACGUGAAAUCCCCGGGCUCAACCCGGGAACUGCGUCCGAUACUGGAAGGCUUGAAUCCGGGGGAGGGAUGCGGAAUUCCAGGUGUAGCGGUGAAAUGCGUAGAUAUCUGGAGGAACACCGGUGGCGAAGGCGGCAUCCUGGACCAACACUGACGCUGAGGAGCGAAAGCCAGGGGAGCAAACGGG
rnacentral:rRNA from 1 species